rnacentral:rRNA from 1 species
UGGGGAAUUUUGGACAAUGGGGGCAACCCUGAUCCAGCCAUGCCGCGUGAGUGAAGAAGGCCUUCGGGUUGUAAAGCUCUUUUGGUCGGGAAGAAAGGGUUUGGGCGAACAGCCUGGACUUGUGACGGUACCGACAGAAUAAGCACCGGCUAACUACGUGCCAGCAGCCGCGGUAAUACGUAGGGUGCGAGCGUUAAUCGGAAUUACUGGGCGUAAAGCGUGCGUAGGCGGUUGCUGAAGUCCGUUGUGAAAGCCCCGGGCUUAACCUGGGAAUGGCAGUGGAAACUAGGCGACUUGAAUCUGGCAGAGGGGGGUGGAAUGCCACGUGUAGCAGUGAAAUGCGUAGAGAUGUGGCGGAACACCGAUGGCGAAGGCAGCCCCCUGGGUUGAGAUUGACGCUCAGGCACGAAAGCGUGGGGAGCAAACAGGAUUAGAUACCCCCGUAGUCC